UGUGGUGGAAUUUCCAGAAACAAAAUUUUGUGGUAUGAUGAGACUAAAGGGAAAGCUUAGACAACAUCAGGUCAUUCAUAGGUCACAGGUCACAGGUCCGG